AGGAAGGCCUAGCUCAGCUCACCUCUGGAAAGGUCUCCAAGCUGUGUGAUCUGGGGAAUCGUGGAGGGGUUUUGAGCUCAGGUGUCUUCUGCCAGCUGGACUCUGAGACCCUGGCCUGCUGGGGCGAGGAUGAGGCUCUGAUGUGGUCUGGUCAACUCUGGGUUGGCCAUCUGCACCACAGGGCUCUAACAAGGGCCUGCUAUAGGCCAUGAGAACCACUGCUUCUGCUUUAGGCAAUGGGGACACCUGGGAAACACAGAUAUCCAGAAGACCAGCCCAUCUAUAAAAUUGGGUGUCAAGGAGCCCAUCUCCAUUUUAGAAAGACAGAGAUGCGUUCUGGGCCGUUGCCCGGGAAAGAAUGUCUACCAGGACAGUUCUGAGAAGGCUCAGCAUCAUAUCUAAACACAGGAAAGGAAUUCCCUGUUGGAAAAUUCAGGAUGACAACUGUGGGUAGCAAGCCAAGGCAAAGGGCAGAACGUGGAGCAGCAUUUGAGGCUCCAGCCAAUUCCAGCCUGUCUGCAGGCACUGCCUGCCUCCACGGCUGUCAGGUGUCGCCCCCAGGAGCUACGUAGGGCGAAGCUAGGCAGGCUUUCAGUGCCAGCUGUGGUUUCCCCAACAGCUCACAGGCCAGAGGCCCCGCCCAGGCCACCUCCUCCAGUCCCCCUGCCGCGGGGUGGUCUUCGGUGGUCUCACUCUCCCUCCCACUGCAUUUCCAUCUCUGCUGUAAUAUACCACCUCAGCCCUUCCUUUUUGAUUCCCAAGAGCAAAUUUUGGAAAUAAAGCAACCUGAAAACAUGCUGUUGCUCAUUUUAUGCCUCCUAUAUCCGUUCUCUCCCAAAUGACUAAUAGAAAGCUCCAGUCACCAAGAUCAACUUCUCUAAAUCCUACCUCCUUCCGCUUGUAAACACCAAGUGCCCCUAUGUGAUACCAUGGCACCAAGUGCCAUGACAGAAACCUCUGCAGGGCUCUGGAAGUCAAAGAACUGUUAAU
rnacentral:lncRNA from 1 species